GACGAACGCUGGCGGCGUGCUUAACACAUGCAAGUCGAACGGAAAGGCCCUGCUUGCAGGGUGCUCGAGUGGCGAACGGGUGAGUAACACGUGGGUGAUCUGCCCCUUACUUUGGGAUAAGCCUGGGAAACUGGGUCUAAUACUGGAUAGGACCAUGCUGUAGGUGGUGUGGUGGAAAGAUUAGUUUCGGUAAGGGAUGAGCUCGCGGCCUAUCAGCUUGUUGGUGGGGUAAUGGCCUACCAAGGCGUCGACGGGUAGCCGGCCUGAGGGGAUGGACGGACACAUUGGGACUGUGAUACGGGCCAGACUCCUACGGGAGGCAGCAGUGGGGAAUAUUGCACAAUGGGCGCAAGCCUGAUGCAGCGACGCCGCGUGGGGGAUGACGGCCUUCGGGUUGUAAACUCCUUUCAGCCAUGACGAAGCCCUUGUGGUGACGGUAGUGGUAGAAGAAGCACCGGCUAACUACGUG
rnacentral:rRNA from 1 species